rnacentral:rRNA from 1 species
GAUGAACGCUGGCGGCGUGCCUAAUACAUGCAAGUCGAGCGAACAGACGAGGAGCUUGCUCCUCUGACGUUAGCGGCGGACGGGUGAGUAACACGUGGAUAACCUACCUAUAAGACUGGGAUAACUUCGGGAAACCGGAGCUAAUACCGGAUAAUAUAUUGAACCGCAUGGUUCAAUAGUGAAAGACGGUUUUGCUGUCACUUAUAGAUGGAUCCGCUCCGCAUUAGCUAGUUGGUAAGGUAACGGCUUACCAAGGCAACGAUGCGUAGCCGACCUGAGAGGGUGAUCGGCCACACUGGAACUGGGAAACGUUCCAGAGCCAUACGGGAGGCAGCAGUAUGGAAUCUUCCGCAAUGGGCGAAAGCCUGACGGAGCAACGCCGCGUGAGGGAUGAAGAUCUUCGGAUCGUAAAACUCUGUUAUCAGGGAAGAACAAAAGUGUAAGUAACUAUGCACGUCUUGACGGUACCGAAUCAGAAAGCCACGGCUAACUACGUG